CAAAUUAUGAUCCACUUAUUCAUUAUGAACCAGUUUUUAUCUGAUUUUUGCCUCAUUUUUUUGGGCACUAAUUGUACUUUAUUUAUUAUAGAAGCUUAAUUAUCUAUCUAAAGCAUCAGUUGUGUCUACCGUGGUCUGCCGGGUUUCUUAUACAGGGCCAUCCAUCUGUCAUCAAGUGGCACGUGCUGGCCAUGUUAAUUAAAUGGUGGUUAAAGGGUGACUAACUAGAGUUAUCUAGUUAACCACUCAAACAUGAGUUUAUCUCACUAACCACUAGAUCACUAAUUAAAAUAUUAUAAACCAAGUUAGAGUGUGAACAUCAAUAGUCAAAUAUAUUUGUGGUGGCAGGUAGCUGCCGGUUAUCCAAAUCCAGCCCAAAGGUCCACACGUGAUACAGGGCGGAGAUCAAAGCAGUCAGCAGUCAGCAGUCAACAGUCAACCGAUAGUCCGUACCCUUUCCUAGCUAAAUUCACGGUGACAAAGUGAGCUUUCUUUCCCGCCUUUCAACCUAUGCAUAAUGUUGUUACCUAUCCGCUCACCCCACCAACACAAAAGAAAAAAAAAUUUAAAUAAACUUAAACUACCAUUGUUGCAGCCAAUCCCCCAUCGCCCGAUCGCCGGUGUCGCAUACCUGUAAGAAAAAUCCUCACAGACCGAAGAUGCCUCCGACGAAGAUCCUUCGACGGUCAAAUCAGAGAGGAGACUAGGCAACAGUGAAAAAUCAAGGGCUC
rnacentral:lncRNA from 1 species